rnacentral:rRNA from 1 species
CGACCGGCGCACGGGCGAGUAACGCGUAUGCAACCUGCCCGUUUCAGCGGGAUAACCCGGAGAAAUCCGGCCUAAUACCGCAUGUGGCCGAGGGGAGGCAUCUUCUUUCGGCCAAAGGAGGCGACUCCGGAGACGGAUGGGCAUGCGUGACAUGAGCUUGUUGGCGGGGUAACGGCCCACCAAGGCGACGAUGUCUAGGGGUUCUGAGAGGAAGGUCCCCCACACUGGUACUGAGACACGGACCAGACUCCUACGGGAGGCAGCAG